AAGAGUAUGAAUCCACUCGACAAGGUGGAAGGGAUCAUGGAUUGAUUCGUCUGGUCUUAAACUUAUAGUUUCUGUUUUCCACAUGAGUAGAGGCUUGUUUUUAUACUUUUAAACACACUUUUUGUGUGUGCUCUUCUGGACGGAUGGCCGGUGAAAGAUUAUCUCAUCCGGAGGAAUUGAACGUUCCAGCUGUGGUCACAGUUCGCCUCAUCAGGUCAUUUGAACAAAGAAACUUCAAGCCUGUGGUGUUCCAGCAGGUCAGCCUUAACCAGACCGUGCAGGACUUCAUGCGCUGGGUGAGAGACGAUAUUGCCACAAGGGACGGACUUCCUCCUCCUUUCAGAAAGUAUGGAUACGACACUAUGAAGAUCAUUCAUCAAGCUCACAGUUCAAAGACAAGUGAGUUGGUAAUGAGUUUGGAUGAUGAUGAAAAGUUAAUUUUACAAGAUGACCAAACCCUCAAAGCUGCUGGAGUUGAGUUAUUGAAGAUGGUGAUAGCUGUUGGCAGGAAAGAUCUUCUAACACAGACAGUACUACACUGAAUCUGAAGAAGCCUCUAACAGAUGAUGUUCUGCCUUCCCAAGAUAGCAUUGUGAAGAGGAUGGUCAGGGUUGUCCAUAAUUGUCUUGAUCCUAUGAAGAAUCCUUCUUUGCAUAAUAAUCUCCAUAGUCGUCCCCAGAACAGAACCAGCCUUCUUUAUCAGACUGUUGAGUCUUUUUAGGUCCCUUGUUCUGAUGCUACUGCCCCAAGAGAUGACAGCAGAAGAGAUAACACUUUCAACAACAGACUUAUAGAAGAUCUGCAGCAUCUUUCUGCAAACCUUGAAGGAUCUUAGCUUCCUCAAGAAGUGCUGUUGCUUCACUGUUGUGUCUUCAUUCCAGUCUGUUGUCCAGAUGAACACAGAGCUAAUGAAACAGAAGUGGGAUUCUUCAGAAAAGAAGAUUAUGUUUUCUAUAAAGCAAACCCCAAAUCAAAAUGGUGAGCAAACAGUGGAGAUUUUCAGCUUGGUUCUUCCUGGAACCACUGCCAGAAUAACAACAACCAGGACUUCCAUUGUGAUGUAAAAAUGUGGGUGUUUUUAUUUUAUUUUAUUUUUUUAUUUUAGUUGAAGGAACAGUAUAACACUGACCUAUUAUGUCCCUUUAUUAAUAUGGUAUGUCUCUGAUACAUGUUACCAUUGAAAUGUAUAUGUUGUGAUUAGUUUUACUAAUAUGUUAAUAAACUUUGAAUAACUGUUCUUCAUUACUGUGUAACAGUAAUAACACAAUAAAGGUAAAGGUAA